GAAAAGUUUCUGCAUAGUUACGGGUUAUACGUUUUUAUAAAAAUACGAAAAAUUCAAUGAAUUUAUUAUUACAAAGAGUCAAUAAUAUAAAGAAACGGUUCUAUUAUGGCGAAAAGAAAAUACUAACAUGGCGGCUAACAGCGACGCAAGAAGUUACUCUACUGAAAGCUUAAGCGUGACCCGUUCCAGAAGCAUCGAAUUACUGAAAAUCGUUUCAUGAGAUGAGUUCACGAUUGCUCACAGUGCUUAGGAUGGAGUAAAUCGCCCGUUAGGUGACGAAAAGCCUGCCGAAGUGAUUGUAAAAUAUUCUUCAAAUAGCGUAGUGCCCUCAAACUCGACGUUAAAAAAGAAGAUAACCGCUUACGUCUACAAAUACUACACUUGGCACGCCUCUGUGGCGUCCCGGGGCCAUGUCGGCGAUAAAUAAAAAUCUCUUGUUCAACAUCUCAAUUCAUAAAUAAAAACAAACAUCACCAGCGGAGGAAAUGAACUCGAAAACGUCAUUUCCUAGUUGCCUAGCGUACGCGUUUCCGGAAUUUUCCGUCCGAUCGAACACUGUAUAGUUUUUGGACUUAUGUUUAUUUUAUGCAGCCGUCAUACGAGUUAACGGGACGAUGUACGAGAUUGAUGACUGUAAUGCUGUUCACUACAUCAUACUAAAAUAUGUCGUAUCAUGUCAUAUAAGUAACAUUAGAUUUUGUUGUUGUAUUGGAACGAAAUUAUUGUUGUAUCAGAACGAAAGCUUGAAAUCAUUUCUCAUGCAUGUCGCUAAGCCACUAUGAUAUAUCUAAUGAUAAUCAUCAGCCUGUAUCCCUCUGUAAGCUAUAUAGGUUUCUCCCAUAAUAUCAGGCCGUGAGGCCCCUUACGGGGGGUACGAUACGGGGCUCAGGGCGAACCCCUCUACCAGGAUAGAAUCUCUCCUACUCAUUGGGGCAGAGGUGAUGAUUUGCGAGUGCUACCUCUUUGGCUCUCCAGUAAUAUGACACAAUUAACAAUCCUCCACCUUUCGCAUCAAAUUUCAGGCAGUUUCUUUAAAUCAUUUGUCCUAUUAUCAGAAGAGCGUCCUAUUUUGGACUUGCCAAUAGGUUGUCUCCAUUUGAGACGUUUGUACCGUUAGCAAUCACUUUUGCGUCAGGCAGUCCAUAUACACUUCAACUUGAUGGUCUUUAAAUCUGUCCCACACUAUGGUUCUUUAGCGAAUUUCAUCCUUAUGGUCCAGAAAGGUGGCGAUUAUGAAUUUAAAUUACGUGAUCUCGUCUGCUGCUUAAUCAAUUUGUUAGACGCAUUCAGGAUGUAGUUUAACCAUACACAAAUGUUAAUGUAAAUUGAAAAUAAGAAAUAAUAAACAAUAAUAACGUUAAAUUGAGUUCCCGGCCUCAUGUUUAUUUAAUGCAGUCAUUAUGCGAGUUAAUGGUCUGAUGCACGUGAUUGAUGGUCACACUCUAUGAUAUUUGGUCUUACUUUAUUGUGUGUGUAUCAUUUUAGUGGCGUUUUGUGAACUAUUUUAUGAGUAGUUAAAAUUGUUAGAAAUUUUCUUUGAAUAUAUAUCUAUAUAUAUAAUAAUGAAUUGCUGUUCGUUAGUGUCACUAAAACUCGAGAGUGGCUGAACCGAUUUGGCUAAUUUUGG